CCAAUCACGACGGCGUAGACUCUUUCUUCUUCCUCUGCUGCUUGCAUCUCCUUUGACCAGUUUCGAGGACGCAGGUAUUUGUGAAAAUCUGCGGUGGAAUUGCAAAAGUAUUGCAUGACAUAUUUUGAUCUGUUGAGCCUGUGUUGUUCUUGAGUGUGUUGUGUUAACAUCUUUGGAUGUGACGUUACAUUCUGUUUCAAAAGUCUUUUUAGCACAUUUACAGAUUCAUGAAUGUUUUAGAGAAAAGUGAUGAUUUGGAUACAUUUUAGAGAUAGAAUGAGAGG